rnacentral:rRNA from 1 species
AUUGAACGCUGGCGGCAGGCCUAACACAUGCAAGUCGAGCGAGCGGCGGACGGGUGAGUAAUGUCUGGGAAACUGCCUGAUGGAGGGGGAUAACUACUGGAAACGGUAGCUAAUACCGCAUACCACCUGCUGUGCCCAGAUGGGAUUAGCUCGUAGGUGGGGUAACGGCUCACAUAGGCGACGAUCCCUAGCUGGUCUGAGUGGAUCACCAGCCACACUGGAACGGAGACACGGGCCAGACGCGUACGGGAGGAAGCAGAGGGGAAGAUGGGAGAAUGGGAGCAAGCCGGAUGCAGCCAUGCCGCGUGUGUGAAGAAGGCGUUCGGGUUGUAAAGCAAUUUCAGCUGGGAGGCGUUACCCGCAGAAGAAGCACCGGCUAACUCCGUGCCAGCAGCCGCGGUAAUUC